AACACGACCUCUUAACCACGAAUUACGUGGUGGUGGCACGGAUUGUGUUGAAAUUGCGUGUCGGCACCACGGAAACAAGACCCAUACAAAGUCAAUGAGGCUAUUUUGUCGUGUGGGUGACACGGAUUCCCUGGUUUAAUAACGUCACACAGUGGGCGGCGGUAAAAGCUAUUACGUUGGUCCUUACUUAAUAUAAGCAGUGCUAUACGUUGGUCCUGAACAUAAAAUAAAUAUAGCCAAUUUAUUGCAGUGCUAUUACGUUUGUCCUGAACAUAAUACAUUCAAAGCAUAGAUUAAAUCGUACUAUACCAUACGAUUUUGCAGAAACGCUCGGGAAUUUAGGUGCUGUAAAUCCGGUGGACAGGACUCAUCUCGUUAUAGAUCAAGAUAAUUUAUAAAGAUCUUUAAGGGUCGGAAUAUCAGAUAGUUGACAUAGUUCAUAUUUUUAAUUAAAAAAGUAAAAAAGAAAUAAGAGGAAUAACAUUAUUGUUGUUGCGGUGUGUCACGUGACAAUCAUGACCCGUCGCCAUGGACACAAGGGGUCGGAUAUUUAAAGUUAAAUAUUUUUAACUUACGCGUGAAAUGGUUAAUUUUAAAAAUAUAUAUAUUCUAAGUAAACAACAACAGCCCAAGUUUAGUAAACAUUUUUUUAUUGAAACUAUAAAUAAAUAUUCUGCAUCCAUUAGGUGUGCCACUGUGGGUGGCUCUUGCACACCCGUGGCUACGCCCCUGCCGUGACCCAUAUUCGCACAUCAUCGCGAUGUUUAUCGUCAAUUUACAAACCUCGCCAGUCGCCACAUCUUUUUUCUUCACAUACAUCUCAUACUCCUCCAUCUACACUCUUCACAACAUUUAAACCAACGGCUCUUUUAACAGCCAUCACUUGCAAAAAUCUCCUACUCACUCACUCACUCACUCACUCACUCUCCAAUUCACUCAAGGUGCGUUCCAAUCGACCGUAAGUCGACCAUCGACCAUUAAGAGAUUAGCCUAUCCCCUGUAUGUCAUUGAUGCACUACUUCAAAGAUGUGAGAAAAAGAACAUACACCUGCGAGUAGUCUGUUACAUUGACUGUGUUGCUGCCUCACAUUUGCAGAAAUCAGGGAGGGCAUAUCACACAACAUUGCCUUGGCCGUACCAGCAUUUCAUGUUAAUGGACACAAAUUGCCCUGCCAGAUCAAGUACAGUACCAGAUGGCUUGAUGGGUUUGGGCUCACAGACGGGGAAGGAAUGAAAAGGCUGUGGUCUUUCCUCCAAAGAUUUGCCAGAGUCACAAAGGAGAUGACUCCAUCUCAUCGCCUUGACCUACUGACUGAUGCCCUUUUGCAUUAUGGACGGAGGAAAUCAACUGACCUAGAGGUGCAGCUCCUGCAAAGAGUAGACAAAGCAGAGAAAAUAUUGCUCAAGAAGAUAUCUCAUCUGUCAUCAGAGAGGCACCAGUGUUGAUUUCUGAAGGAGACAUGGAGAGAUGGAAAAAAGCUAGCCCAACAGAAACCAAUAAACACUGUCUGUAGAUGGAAAAGGGACUACAUCAUCAGACUGAUUCAGUUCUACAAGUUCAAAAUUGAGGACUCUGCUGAUCAUUGAGGAAAAAUACCGUAUUGGGAGAAGAUGGCAAGAGUCUGAUUCAAACUUCCAGUCUACCCUUAAAGAUGUGGACCGUGAGCUCAGAGUCCAACUGUAAGGCUAGAACUGAAUCAAGGGAGAGAGCAGUCGUCCUCCACCUGAGAAGAAUAUAUCCAGCUUUGCUUCAGAUGGGCAGGGCAUUGCCAUUAGACUCUCCAAGCAGGUAGCCAAUUGAUUUUCAGGAAUCAUGUGAUCCCUCUUGGCAUGUCUACUUCUGCUUUAAUGACACUAUUGAAGAAGAUGAUGUUUCGAGGAGUCUAAAAAGGCGAGGGAUUGAUGCCUUACAUUUGAAGAGUGCAUGCUUUACCAGGAAAUAUGAAGUCUAAGGGGCCAGUCACACCAAAAGCGUUUAUGGCAGUUGCAGGCACCUUUUUUGAAUGAUAUUCUAUGGGCAGGGCGUGUUUACACGCUGUUUAUGUGCGCCGAGCGCCGCGCGUUUUUUUGCCGCCUGCCGCGCACGCGUUUUUGAAGGAGCGCUGAGAGCGGAGAAGUGCCCGACGUCAUUCGGGUCUUUCCAUUGUCCAAUCAAAUGAGGGGAGAGGCGGGCCUUACGUUGUGGUGAGUGAAGUUUACAGUUGCUUUGAAGAACCGGACUCCACUCGCUCACUCUCUCCUGCGUGUUUGUGCACCCCUCACCCUCAAACAAGGUCAGAGCAAGCGCCCUCUUUUUAAAGUUUCUGCUAAUAUGACAGUUAACAGCAAAAGAGCGCUCAUGCUUCAAUGUUUGAUUGACAAGACAGCUGACUCGGUGGUUGCUUAGCAAUAUGAAAAGCCACGUCGCACUGCUCUUUUUUUGCAAGCGUUUAAAGCGCUUUUGGUGUGACUGGCCCCUAACUGAACACCCCAUCAGCAGCAGGCCUCUAACAUUUGGGCUCUAACAUCAAAGACACUGAGCAGCCUGGUGCAAAAGCUGCUCUCAUUCAACACCUCCAACAGCUGGAAAGAAAACUACAUCAAGCCAUUGUGAUGUUUCACCCACAUCUAUCGGACAUUGUUCCUGCAGACAACCCCCACUUGUGUCAGGCCCUCCCCAUGCCAAGCAUACAGACACUGGUAUACAAUGAUAAGAGUGAUAAUGAUGAAAAUGUGGAUAAAUAUGAUAACUAGCACUACAGAUUUUUUGUUAAUUUCUAGUCUGAUAUUGUAUUCUGUAAAAAGAAAGAUGUAAAAUGUAUAGUAUAUGUUGCAGCAUAUCAUAGAAACCUUUAUGGUGGUGUAAUAUAAUGUUCGCCUUACUUGUGCAAACAUGAUGUUUUACUAGGUCUGAUUUAUUUUAAAACGUAGGUACUGUUUUUAAGCACACAUAUUCACACUAGUCUGUGUGAGGACAAAAUUGUGUGUUUACCAUUGUGAUGUUACUUAUUUACUGUAAUGUACAAAUGUGGUCAAUGUGUGUAAGGUGUUUUGUUUUUGUGAGCUAAGUUAAAAUGACAAAGUAUUGAAUCUUGAAUCCUUUGAAACAAAUACUGUAAAAGUUUGUAAAAAAAUAAAAUGUUUUCCACAAUGA